GUCUUCGGUGACGUCACAGCACCGGGCGGUCCGCGACGUUACAGUGACGGUACAGUGCCUGGAGCUAGGCUGUUUUCUCCUUAGAGUGGAGCCUGGUAACCGCGACCUCCUUGCCAGGUCCUUUGUGUUGCUGGCUGGAGAUGGGUAGUUGACAAACUCCGACCCAGCACAGUGUUUAUGUGGGUCAAAACUAGAAAACUAUGUCUGGAUGCGGCCGAGGCGGAAGGAUCCUUUCAGGCCAGGAGUUAAAGAGCAGCCUGAGCAACUGGGCGCGACCCCAUUUCAGUAGUUUCACCUCAACUUCCCAGCUCCUUGAACCCCAGGGUUCAAGGCUGCCAUGAGCUAUGAUCCCAUCACAGCACUCCAUCCUGCGAGACUGAGGGAUUGUGCUGCAUUCUGACUUAGGUUCUGCUAUCAAAAACAGAAUGCCCUGAUCCUUAGAGGCAGAGGCAGCUCCUCAGCCUAUGGGGAAUCCUGUCUACUGUGUGUCUGAUGACAUGAACUUACUGAGUGCUGCUUAGUUGCAUCAUAGACACCACCUGUCUUUGAACAGCUACCCUGACUCUUGAUGGAAUGCAAAGGCUGCCAGGGGCCACUGCUUAAGCUCUUGGACUCACUGAGGCAGUAAAAGAACCAUAUCCUGUGUUUGAAUCAAACCCCGAGUUCGUGUGUGUAGAAGGUUUGCCAGACAGGAUUCCCUUUUGAAGCCCUCCUGGUUUGGAAUUCCAUGACUUGAAAGGAUCGUCCGUGGGAGUAAUAAAAUCAAGUUUGUUGGUAAAAAGUAAGUUUUAGGCCAGGUGUGGUGGCUCAUGUUUGUAAUCCCAGCACUUUGGGAGGCUGAGGCGGGCAGAUCACCUGAGGUCCGGAGUUCGAGACCAGCCUGGCAGACAUGGGAAAACCCCAUAUCCACUAAAAAUACAAAGAAUUAGCCAAGCAUGGUGGCGGGCACCUGUGAUCCCAGCUACUUGGGAGACUGAAGCAGGAGAAUCACUUGAACCUGGGAGGCAGAGGCUGCAGUGAGCCAAGAUCACAACACUGCACUCCAGCCUGGGUGACAGAGCGAGACUCUGCCUCAACAACAACAACAAUAAAAACUUCACAGUUUCUAAAAAGACCACGAAGCCCUGAGAGUAAUGAAAAGCUUCCUGACAUUGAGGUCACUGUGGAAGGACCUCACAAUGACUCAAGCUACCAUGUACUGUUGAUUGUGAUGAAAUGCCAGCUGAGGCACAUGCUUUGGGAGGUAAGUGGCUGCUGCACUUGACCACUAUGAAGGCUGGUGUGGGAAGAAUCCUUUUGGAUGCACUUCAGCAGGGGCCCCGAUCCCUGGGUCACAGGCCUGUACUGGGCCACACAACAGGAGGUGAGUAGAGGGUGUGCGAGCGAAGCUUCAUCUGUAUUUACAGCCGCUCCCCACGUUACCACCUGAUCUCUGCCUCCUGUGAGAUCAGCGGCAGCAUGAGAUUCUCAUGUGAGCACAAACCCUGUUGUGAACUGUGCAUGCAAGGGAUCUGUCUUGCUGUGUCCUUAGGAGAAUCUAAUGCCUGAUGGUCUGCCACUGUCUCCCAUCACCCCCAGAUGGGACCAUCUAGUUGCAGGAAAAGAAGGUCAAGACUCCCACUCAUUCUACAUUAUGGCUGGAGCACAGUGGUUUGAUCUUGGCUCACUGCAGUCUCAACCUCUCAGGCUCAAGCUAUCCUUCCGCCUCAGCCUCUGGUGUAGCUGGGACCACAGCCUCAGCCAAGAUGUCUCACCCUACUCUCUAUGAUGCAAGAAGCCCCUGGGGAACGUUUCAGUCCCACUCUGUACUAUUGUCAUGUGCUCAUCACAGUCUGGUAAGUGUUGGCCUGUGAUUCCUACAUUAGUCCAUUUUGCAUUGCCAUAAGGAAACACCUCAGGCUGGGUAGUUUAUAAAGAAAAACAGAUUAUUUGGCUCACGGUCUUGCAGACUAUACAAGUAGCAUGGUGCCAGGCUGGGAGCAGUGGCCCAUACCUGUAAUCUCGGCACUUUGGGAUGCUGAAGCAGGAGGAUCGCUUGAGCCCAGAAGUUUGAAACCAGCCUGGGAAACAUGGUGAGAUCUUGUCUCUGCUAAAAAUAAAAAAAAAAUAGCCAGGUAUGAUGGUGCACUGAUGCAUGCCUGUGGUUUCAGCUACUUGGGAGGCUAAGGUAAAAAGACCUCUUUAGCCGAGGAUGUCGGGGUUGCAGUGAGCCAUAAUUAUACCACUGCUCUCUAGCCUGAGUGUCAGAGUGAGACCCUGUCUCAGAAAAAAAAAAAAAAAAACACAUAGUACCAGCAUCUGCUGGUGAGGACCUCAGGAGGCUUCCUCUCAUGGCGGAAGGUGAAGGAGGAGCCGGCAUGUCACUUGUUGAGAAGAGCAAGGGAGAGGGGAGGAGGUGCCAGGCUCUUUAAACAAUCAGCUCUCACAUGAACUAGUAGAGAGAGAACUUACUCAUUACCUUGGGGAGGGCACCAAGCCAUUCAUGAGGGAUCCUGCUACCCUAUAAGCUCUGUGAGGGCAGAAACUUUUUUUUUUUUUUUUUUUUUUUUUUUGAUACAGAGUUUCACUCUUGUUGCCCAGGCUGGAGUGCAGCGCCGCGACCUCAGCUCAUUGCAA